CCGGUCGACCACUCCUUAAAUCCAUCCGAAAAUAACACAAUAGAAGCACCAACUCUAGAUUUUUCUUAAUCUUUUGAAGAAUCAAAUCAUGGGAUUUAUUUUCUUGAUGGAUUAGAGGCUUGUAAUUGGAUUGGAGGAAGGCAUCUCUCCACCUCUUGGAAAUUAAUUUGUAGAGUUUCAAAUCUACACUUUUGCUAUUUUUGGAGGCGCGUAUGGCAAGGCGAAGAGUUCAUAAGAGUCGCCCCCUUAUGGAAGUACUUGAGGCUGAGCGAGAGCCACAUCUUAGUGUUGGAAAUGAAGUUCCACCUCGGGUUCAGGAAGAAGAGAUUGAACAUGAAUCGCAUAAUGAGCAAACUCAAGAGUCAAGUGCCAAUCCAGAAGUGGGACAUUCAGAUAGAGUUGUACCACCAAGGGCUGACGCAGCUCCA